rnacentral:rRNA from 1 species
GAUGAACGCUGGCGGCGUGCCUAAUACAUGCAAGUCGAGCGAACAGACGAGGAGCUUGCUCCUCUGACGUUAGCGGCGGACGGGUGAGUAACACGUGGAUAACCUACCUAUAAGACUGGGAUAACUUCGGGAAACCGGAGCUAAUACCGGAUAAUAUAUUGAACCGCAUGGUUCAAUAGUGAAAGACGGUUUUGCUGCCACUUAUAGAUGGAUCCGCGCCGCAUUAGCUAGUUGGUAAGGUAACGGCUUACCAAGGCAACGAUGCGUAGCCGACCUGAGAGGGUGUUCGGCCACACUGGAACUGAGACACGGUCCAGACUCCUACGGGAGGCAGCAGUAGGGAAUCUUCCGCAAUGGGCGAAAGCCUGACGGAGCAACGCCGCGUGAGUGAUGAAGGUCUUCGGAUCGUAAAACUCUGUUAUUAGGGAAGAACAAAUGUGUAAGUAACUAUGCACGUCUUGACGGUACCUAAUCAGAAAGCCACGGCUAACUACGUG